ACGAGCGCAACCCUUGUCAUUAGUUGCUACAUUCAGUUGGGCACUCUAAUGAGACUGCCGGUGACAAACCGGAGGAAGGUGGGGAUGACGUCAAGUCCUCAUGGCCCUUAUAGGUGGGGCUACACACGUCAUACAAUGGCUGGUACAAAAGGGUUGCCAACCCGCGAGGGGGAGCUAAUCCCUAUAAAACCAGUCGUAGUCCGGAUCGCAGUCUGCAACUUGGCUGCGUGAAGUCGGAAUCGCUAGUAAUCGUGGAUCAGAAUGUCACGGUGAAUAGUUCCCGGGUCUUUGUACACACCGCCCGUCACACCAUGGGAGCGGGUCUCGCCAGAAGUAG
rnacentral:rRNA from 1 species